GACGAACGCUGGCGGCGUGCCUAAUACAUGCAAGUCGAGCGGACUUUCAAGAAGCUUGCUUUUUGAAAGUUAGCGGCGGACGGGUGAGUAACACGUGGGCAACCUGCCUGCAAGACGGGGAUAACUCCGGGAAACCGGGGCUAAUACCGGAUAAUAUCUUCCUUCGCAUGAAGGAAGGUUGAAAGGCGGCGCAAGCUGCCGCUUGCAGAUGGGCCCGCGGCGCAUUAGCUAGUUGGUGAGGUAACGGCUCACCAAGGCGACGAUGCGUAGCCGACCUGAGAGGGUGAUCGACCACACUGGGACUGAGACACGGCCCAGACUCCUACGGGAGGCAGCAGUAGGGAAUCUUCCGCAAUGGACGAAAGUCUGACGGAGCAACGCCGCGGGAGCGAAGAAGGUCUUCGGAUCGUAAAGCUCUGUUGUCAGGGAAGAACAAGUACCGUUCGAACAGGGCGGUACCUUGACGGUACCUGACCAGAAAGCCACGGCUAACUACGUG
rnacentral:rRNA from 1 species